rnacentral:rRNA from 1 species
UACGGGGGGGGUAAGCGUUGUUCGGAAUUACUGGGCGUAAAGGGCUCGUAGGCGGCCAACUAAGUCAGACGUGAAAUCCCUCAGCUUAACUGGGGAACUGCGUCUGAUACUGGAUGGCUUGGAUUUGGGAGAGGAAUGCGGAAUUCCAGGUGUAGCGGUGAAAUGCGUAGAUAUCUGGAGGAACACCGGUGGCGAAGGCGGCUAUCUGGACCGACAUUGACGCUGAGGCGCGAAAGCGUGGGGAGCAAACAGG